CAGCCGCCGCGGGAAUACGAGGGGGGCGAGCGUUGUUCGGAAUUAUUGGGCGUAAAGGGCUCGCAGGCGGUUUCUUAAGUCUGAUGUGAAAGCCCCCGGCUCAACCGGGGAGGGUCAUUGGAAACUGGGAAACUUGAGUGCAGAAGAGGAGAGUGGAAUUCCACGUGUAGCGGUGAAAUGCGUAGAGAUGUGGAGGAACACCAGUGGCGAAGGCGACUCUCUGGCUUGUAACUGACGCUGAGGCUCGAAAGCGUGGGGAGCAAACAGGAUUAGAUACCCCAGUAGUCCCUGUCUCUUAUAC
rnacentral:rRNA from 1 species